AGUCAUCAACCCCUCCCGUUUCGUGCGGGGGUCGGUUGGAUGUGGGGGCGUGCUGCCGUGAGGCUGCUCCCCUCAAAUGCAUCGGUUGGACCUGUGGGUCGAACUCGACUGGGCGUUGUACCAUCCUCGCUCUCCUGAGACGUUCCCCUUCCGUGUCCUCCCCAGACCUGCCUUUGGAGUGGCGGUCAAGCAAAACUUUGAA
rnacentral:misc_RNA from 1 species